rnacentral:rRNA from 1 species
ACGUAUGCAACCUACCUUUCAGCGGAGAAUAGUCAUUGGAAACGAUGAAUAAUACUCCAUAUGCUCACAGUAUCUCAUGAUACGGUGAGGAAAGCUCCGGCGCUGAGAGAUGGGCAUGCGUCCCAUUAGCUAGUUGGUAAAGUAACGGUUUACCAAGGCAACGAUGGGUAACUGGUCUGAGAGGAUGAUCAGUCACACGGGCACUGAGACACGGGCCCGACUCCUACGGGAGGCAGCAGUAAGGAAUAUUGGUCAAUGGGGGCAACCCUGAACCAGCCAUGCCGCGUGCAGGACGACGGC